UGGGGAAUAUUGCACAAUGGGGGAAACCCUGAUGCAGCGACGCCGCGUGAACGAAGAAGGUAUUCGUAUCGUAAAGUUCUGUCCUAUGGGAAGAUAAUGACAGUACCAUAGAAGAAAGCUCCGGCUAAAUACGUGCCAGCAGCCGCGGUAAUACGUAUGGAGCGAGCGUUGUCCGGAAUUAUUGGGCGUAAAGGGUACGCAGGCGGUUUAAUAAGUCGAAUGUUAAAGAUCGGGGCUCAACCCCGCAAAGCAUUGUAAACUGAUAAACUUGAGUAGUGGAGAGGAAAGUGGAAUUCCUAGUGUAGUGGUGAAAUACGUAGAUAUUAGGAGGAAUACCAGUAGCGAAGGCGACUUUCUGGACACAAACUGACGCUGAGGUACGAAAGCGUGGGGAGCAAACAGG
rnacentral:rRNA from 1 species